GAAGAGGCUGGAGCAGAAGGUGUAAAUGUGAGAGCCAUCAGUGCGUAGAAGGUAUUUUAAGCCAUAGGGCUAAACGAGUGCACAUCAAGAAGAGGGCUCCCCUAGGCUGAGCCCAGGCCCAGAUCCCCAGAAACUAGUCCUUGCCCCAACACGGGGGAGCUCCCUGAGACCUCCAUACCAGUCCCCUCCUUCACCACCUGCCAUGGGAACCCCUGAGCUUUGGUUUUCUCUCCUCCCAGGCUUACCAGAACUGGGUGAAGAAGAACGGGGCUGAGCACUCGCUCCCCACCCUGGGCCUCACCAAUAACCAGCUCUUCUUCCUGGGCUUUGCACAGGUCUGGUGCUCCGUCCGCACACCUGAGAGCUCCCACGAAGGCCUCAUCACCGAUCCCCACAGCCCCUCUCGCUUCCGGGUCAUCGGCUCCCUCUCCAAUUCCAAGGAGUUCUCAGAACACUUCCGCUGCCCACCUGGCUCACCCAUGAACCCGCCUCACAAGUGCGAAGUCUGGUAAGGACGAAGCGGAGAGAGCCAAGACGGAGGAGGGGAAGGGGCUGAGGACGAGACCCCCAUCCAGCCUCCAGGGCAUUGCUCAGCCCGCUUGGCCACCCGGGGCCCUGCUUCCUCACACUGGCGGGUUUUCAGCCGGAACCGA
rnacentral:lncRNA from 10 species